AUUUCUCGCCAUGGUAUUCCAUGCGGGCCUUUGCAAGGGUGCGUCGAACUUUCAAAACUUGAUGACAAUUUGGCAGCAUUACAGUGGUCAAGUGCAGGAAGGAAAUAGCUCCUACUUUGGAUAUUAUCCAGGAGGUGGAGCAUGCUCCUUUGAUCCUCUCACAAUGGACUACAGCCACAGAGGCUGGGUAAAGG